UACGUAGGAACGAGCGUUGUCCGGAGUUACUGGGCGUAAAGGGUGCGCAGGUGGCGGCGCGCGUGGGGGGUGAAAUCGCCCGGCUUAACUGGGCGGGGGCCUUCCAGACGGCGUGGCUUGAGCAGCGGAGGGACGUGGAAUUCCGGGUGGAGCGGUGAAAUGCGUAGAGAUCCGGAGGAACACCGACGGCGCAGGCAGCGUCCUGGCCGCUUUGCUGACACUGAGGCACGAAA
rnacentral:rRNA from 1 species